UACAGGGUAGACUGAUAAGCGUCAAGUGUUGUAGAAACGGAAUGUGAGCUACAAACGAAGGAAUUUCCCGCGAUUUAUCAGUCACAUUCACUGUA
rnacentral:ncRNA from 2 species